AAGAUUUGGUGAUUGGAGCGGCGGACGGGUGAGUAACGCGUGGGUAACCUGCCUCAUACAGGGGGAUAACAGUCAGAAAUGACUGCUAAUACCGCAUAAGCGCACAGUACCGCAUGGUACCGUGUGAAAAACUCCGGUGGUACAGGAUGGACCCGCGUCUGAUUAGCUGGUUGGUGGGGUAACGGCUCACCAAGGCGACGAUCAGUAGCCGGCUUGAGAGAGUGAACGGCCACAUUGGGACUGAGACACGGCCCAAACUCCUACGGGAGGCAGCAGUGGGGAAUAUUGCACAAUGGGGGAAACCCUGAUGCAGCGACGCCGCGUGAGUGAAGAAGUAUCUCGGUAUGUAAAGCUCUAUCAGCAGGGAAGAAAAUGACGGUACCUGACUAAGAAGCCCCGGCUAACUACGUGCCAGCAGCCGCGGUAAUACGUAGGGGGCAAGCGUUAUCCGGAAUUACUGGGUGUAAAGGGUGCGUAGGUGGUAUGGCAAGUCAGAAGUGAAAACCCAGGGCUUAACUCUGGGACUGCUUUUGAAACUGUCAGACUGGAGUGCAGGAGAGGUAAGCGGAAUUCCUAGUGUAGCGGUGAAAUGCGUAGAUAUUAGGAGGACAUCAGUGGCGAAGGCGGCUUACUGG
rnacentral:rRNA from 1 species